rnacentral:rRNA from 1 species
UACGUAGGGUGCGAGCGUUGUCCGGAAUUAUUGGGCGUAAAGAGCUCGUAGGCGGUCUGUCGCGUCGGUCGUGAAAACUUGGGGCUUAACCCUGAGCUUGCGGUCGAUACGGGCAUGACUGGAGUUCGGCAGGGGAGACUGGAAUUCCUGGUGUAGCGGUGAAGUGCGCAGAUAUCAGGAGGAACACCGGUGGCGAAGGCGGGUCUCUGGGCUGGAACUGACGCUGAGGAGCGAAAGCGUGGGGAGCGAACAGG